CCUACGGGAGGCAGCAGUAAGGAAUAUUGGACAAUGCUCGCAAGAGUGGUCCAGCCAUGCCGCGUGCAGGAAGACGGCCCUAUGGGUUGUAAACUGCUUUUGAACUAGAGAAAACCCUCCUACGUGUAGGAGGCUGAUAGUAUAGUUAGAAUAAGCAUCGGCUAACUUCGUGCCAGCAGCCGCGGUAAGACGAAGGAUGCAAGCGUUAUCCGGAUUCAUUGGGUUUAAAGGGAGCGUAGGUGGACUGAUAAGUCAGUGGUGAAAUCUCUCGGCUUAACCGAGAAAUUGCCAUUGAUACUGUUGGUCUUGAGUACAGUUGCUGUGGGCGGAAUAUGACAUGUAGUGGUGAAAUACAUAGAGAUGUCAUAGAACACCGAUUGCGAAGGCAGCUCACAAAGCUGUAACUGACACUGAGGCUCGAAAGUGCGGGGAUCAAACAGGAUUAGAUACCCUGGUAGUCCGCACCGUAAACGAUGAUUACUCGCUGCUGGGAGGUAACUUUCGAGUGCUUAGCGAAAGAGAAGUAAGUAAGUUACCGACCGUGGGUUAGGUUACGGCCGGCGACGGAGAACGACGAAGGAAGUUAGACGGCGNGAGACGNGCGACGGACGACGACGAGGGAGGUUAGG
rnacentral:rRNA from 1 species